rnacentral:rRNA from 1 species
CAAGGAUUCCCCCAGUAACGGCGAGUGAAGCGGGAACAGCUCAAGACCGAAUCCCCCCGGGGAGUUGUAGUCUAUGGAUGCGCAUUCGCGCCGCGGCCCCAGACCAAGUCCUGUGGAAUAAGGCGCCAGAGAGGGUGAUAGCCCCGUCUGUCUGCUGGGCGGCACAGCGGCCGUAUGACUGCGCAUCCGAGAGUCGGGUUGUUUGGGAAUGCAGCCCUAAGCGGGAGGUAUGCACCUUCCAAAGCUAAAUAUUCAGGCAAGAGACCGAUAGCGAACAAGUACUGUGAAGGAAAGUUGAAAAGCACUCUGGAGAGAGAGUGAAAAGAACGUGAAACCAUUGGUAGGGAACCGCUUGCACGGUGCACCGAUCCGCGUGCUUAUGCGCGCGGGCGUCCACCAUCAGUUUUGGAAUUGCCGGCGUAGAAGCGGGGCGCGAAGGUAGGCUGCCUGCGGGCGGCUGUUAUAGCGCGCCUCGAGCUGCGGCGGCCGGGACUGAGGACGAUGGCAGGCUUGCUCUCGGGCAAGUGGCCGGCUGGCUGCGGGGCCUGGGUGCGCGGGCGGUCGAGACAGCGUGCUGACUCGGCUGCGCGCGCGGCCAGCCACCCUGCACCACCGGUAGGCUGCCGCGGAUGGUGGAAAGUGCCGAAC